AGCAUUUAUUGUGGACCUGGGAUUCCUAGGACUGCAUUCUGAUGAAGUGCAUCAAAGGACCUGAGCCCUAGGACCAUGCCCCAGGACUACCUGACAUGAUGACUCCUUGCUGUCCCCAGUCCACCUGGCCGUGCUGCUCCUCCAGUUUCAACUGUUCUGCCUUAUUAUUAUUGGACCAUGCUGGUCAUUUAUGAACAAUUGAACAUCUUGGCCAUGUUCUGUUAUAAUCUCCACCCGGCACAGCCAGAAGAGGACUGGCCACCCCACAUAGCCUGGUUCCUCCCUAGGUUUUGGCCUUUCUAUGGAGUUUUUCCUAGCCACCGUGCUUCUACACCUGCAUUGCUUGCUGUUUGGGGUUUUAGGCUGGGUUUUUGUACAGCACUUUGAGAUAUCAGCUGAUGUACGAAGGGCUAUAUAAAUAAAUUUGAUUUGAUUCAUGUCAUAUCACUUAAUCCAGCAUAGCUUGAAAAAGUAUUUAUAGUUGCUGAUGUUACACAUGUUUGUUAACAAGUUACAAAUGCGAGAUGUGGUGCAUAACAAGUUAAUAGGCGCAAGGCUAACUAGCUAGCCAACUCCAUAUAUGAACUAACGUUUGCUAGCAUCGCUUGUAGCUGAACUUGUAACAUGAAAUGAGAACUUGUUCUCAACUGGCCUACAUGGUUAAAUAAAAACAUACAGUGGGGCAAAAAAGUAUUUAGUCAGCCACCAAUUGUGCAAGUUCUCCCACUUAAAAAGAUUAGAGGCCUGUAAUUUUCAUCAUAGGUACACUUCAACUAUGACAGACAAAAUGAGAAAAAAAAUCUUGAAAAUCACAUUGUAGGAUUUUUAAAGAAUUUAUUUGCAAAUUAUGGUGGAAAAUAAGUAUUUGGUCAGUAACAAAAGUUUCUCAAUACUUUGUUAUAUACCCUUUGUUGGCAAUGACAGAGGUCAAACGUUUUCUGUAAGUAUUCACAAGGUUUUGUUCACAAAGUCUAUGUUUGUUUUUCUAUGAUUUGGGUAUUUCUAUGUUUCGGCCUAGUAUGGUUCUCAAUCAGAGGCAGGUGUCAUUGGUUGUCUCUGAUUGAGAAUCAUACUUAGGUAGCCUGGGUUUCACUGUGUGUUUGUGGGUGUUUGUUUUCGUGUCUGUGUUUUUCACCACACGGUACUGUUUUGGGUUUCGUUCAUUCAACGUUUAUUGUUUUUGUAAUCAGUUGUUCAUGUGUACAUUUUUUCGUAUUAAAAGAACCAUGGACACUUA
ensembl:lncRNA